UUUGCAGCGGAAAUCUUAUUACCAAAUUUUACAAGUUACAUCAAGUUUUACAAUGUAAAUGAUCGAAGUGAUUACAAAAAGUGAUUCAAAGAAGUAACUUUGAACUGUUAUAAAUUAUUUGUAGUUUUGAAAUAUAUGCUAGCUUAAGUGACCAUCCUCAAUAAGAAGUAUAGAAGAGUUACUUAGACUUAUAAGAAGGUCGAGCCCACCGACACUUAACACCAUCAUCAACAGCACAAAACUAUAACCUGAAAAACAACAGGGAAUAAAACCCUGAGUAUGGAAUUACUCAGCAAGACUUACCCGACUAAAGAAAAGACUCUCAAAGAUAUGCUGGAUUUGGGAAUCAAGGAGAGGCUUUAGCAAAAAUCAACUUAGAUACUUUUGCAGAAUUAGCUUACUAAAGUGAGUCCUUACUUUCAAUAUUUUAACGCCAGAUUAAAUAUUAAUAGACUUCGUUUGCAUCUGGUCUAAUUUCACCAUCUCAUCAAUACAACAUCAUUUUUAUUCAUGAGGUUCACAUCCUGACUUAGGUUGCAGGGCAGCGAUCAAGUCUCCACUCUCCGGGGAUAUAACGGCGAUCCGAAUCGAUUUACUCAGCUGAGGAUCUCUAACCACACGACAUAUGUAGCACUUAACCCUUGCAUAUGUCAACCGUUCCCACAGAUCCUCCACAACGUGAACCGGUCCGCGCUACCCGGGAGCACAGUACUCCUCCAUCCAGCCUCUAGCCAGGAGGGUACACGCUACUCCCACCAUCUCCCACGCCCAGUGCGCGGUUGUCUUUUCACGUAUGGAAUAGCCGGGUUCAAGCUUACCCUGUCCCAUUUCUAGGGCAUAUGGCCAGUUAAGAUAGUCCUUGAUCAUACAGGCCUACAUACGCAUCCAAUCCUUAAUUGACCCGGACGGAACAUCACCUGUUCCUAGCCCAAGUCCCGAUUUAAGUACUUCCACCCUUAGGAUUGUUUUGUGUUCCUAAGGAUGAAAAGAGCAUUAUAGGGAACCUUGCAGUAAGAUCCCACCAUGCUCCCAAUGAAAAUAUCCGUGCAGGUAGAAGUCAUCCUUCCUCAGGAUCAUCCUGAGCUAGGCAUAAGUGCAAAGGACAAACUCUAUCUGCCUAUAAGCAGGGCUAAGCAUUUUUUUGUAAAUCAUAUUUUGAUACUUCACCAGAAGUAUCUAUAAAAGGGAUGGAUAUCAAGGUAGCCAAUGCAUCAAAGGGUUUUCAAGCAACUCCUAUAAACUUAAUGCACAUUCACUAGACUUAAAGUGUGUAAAAAUAAUUUAAAAAUACAAGGAAGGGGUUGCAUGCACCGGGGCUUGCCUAGGUAACACUAGGUUAGUGUUUGUUAGGCGACCACUUGACGAGCAUCCAUUGGCUUGGCACUCGUUCAGAUUAUCUAUCUUCCGGUUCGUUCAUCGGCAUCAUCCUGCGGAUUAGCUCGCGCUUGGUGUCGACUUAACUCUUUUCCUUCGUCUUACUUGAUUAAUUAUCGUACCUCAUGAGAUGCAUAAUGCACAUGUAUGAGCAUAAAGUAACCGGAUGAUACAAAAAAAAAGAAUCAAAUAUUUAGCGGCAAGACAUCGAAACAAUCCUACGAAAGCACUAGACAUCUAUAACUCACUAAACACAACAAUCACGAUUUUUCUAGUUUUACUAGAUUUAACUAACGGGAAUAAUAGAUCAGCUUACCCUGAUCGAAUCGACCCGAUAACCGUGAGGGCGACGACGACUUGGCGAGGAGGUGAGCGAGACGUCGCAGCACGCGGAGUGAACUCAGGACGAUAUCGAGAGCGCCGAUGCUGCCGUAGCGAGAUCGAGACAAGGACGAGGAUGCCAAUCAGGUGUAGCGAGACAACAGAGAAUAGAUGGCACAGUAGACGUCUCCACGGCGGCAUCACAGUACCACUGUGAGGUCUAGUAGUAGCUGACAACGCCGGCGAGUUCCACAAGCCGGAACGUGCACAGCAUCAAAACAGACGAGCACGUGACCCGGCGACCCAGCACAGGCACACACGAAACCGAGCUCCAUGGCCAAGCGCUUGAGUCGGUGAGCGUGCAGCCGUGGAAAAGAAACGACGACUGGAGGCGCUGCCUGGCGAAGGAAAGAACGCGCCCGACUUUGGCUAGAACCAGCGGCACGAUGGCUUGAAGACUGAGCGAGGCGAGCAACGUGUUGGAGUUGCUGGGGAGCUCGCGCGUCUGGGAAAAUCUAACGUCGACGAGCAGGAGCGAGCGUUCCUGGUGCUGGAGCAGCCCGGCCAGCAGUACGAAGCGCGCAGUGGUGCAGUGGUGAGAUGGGUGGCGUGGGUGAUUCCCAGGGUGUUCAACGCAUCUUGUGAAGGAAGUUUCCAGGAGCUGAAUACGUGGGAAAUAAAUGACGUGAAUGAGAUGCAGAGGUGGCGUGAGGAAGAGCUUCAGUACGUGGCCGGUUGCACAGAACAGAGGGAGAGAUACGUGAGGAAAUUCUCCUUCCAGCUAUCUCUAUCCGUAUGAGAGAAAAAGAAUACGGUAGCUCUUGGGAUAAGAAGAAGAGUAGGCGGUGGGGAUAUUCCAUGGAGAUAGACAUGCUCUAGAAAAUAAAAGGGAUGAGGAUGGCUGAGACAUAGGCGAGCAUGUUGAACCCUGGCCCCCAAAACUGACACAAGUUUCAGUUUCCAACUUGCAAAACAGAGGGAAUUGGAGGACGAUUUUCUUCCAGUUCUAAGUAAUGACAGGAAAUCAAUGCUUAAUAAGAAUGGUUCUCCGAUAAUAACUCUUUAUAUUUGGUGUAA
rnacentral:lncRNA from 1 species